rnacentral:misc_RNA from 1 species
GAUGAAGAACGCAGUGAAAUGCGAUAAGUAGUGUGAAUUGCAGAAUUCAGUGAAUCAUCGAAUCUUUGAACGCACAUUGCGCCCCGUGGUAUCCCGAGGGGCAUGCCUGUUCGAGCGUCAUUUCACCACUCAAGCCUGGCUUGGUGUUGGGCGACGUCCUCUUUGGGGACGCGCCUCGAAACGCUCGGCGGCGUGGCACCGGCUUUAAGCGUAGCAGAAUCUUUCGCUUUGGAAGUCGGGGCCCCGUCUGCCGGAAGACCUGCUCGCAAGGUUGACCUCGGAUCAGGCAGGGAUACCCGCUGAACUUAAGCAUAUCAAUAAGCGGAGGA